AACGAACGCUGGCGGCGCGUCUUAAGCAUGCAAGUCGAACGGCAAGAUUGGUGCUUGCACCGAUCCUAGAGUGGCGGACUGGUGAGUAACGCGUGGUGACGUACCCUAAGGAUGGGAUAGCUGGUAGAAAUAUCAGAUAAUACCGAAUAUCCUUAUUGUUGUUAGAGGACAGUAAGGAAAGGAGCUUUGGCUUCGCCUAAGGAUCGGCCCGCGUACUAUUAGCUAGUUGGUGAGGUAACGGCUCACCAAGGCGACGAUAGUUAUCCGGCCUAAGAGGGGGAACGGACACAUUGGGACUGAGAUACGGCCCAGACUCCUACGGGAGGCAGCAGCUAAGAAUAUUCCGCAAUGGAGGAAACUCUGACGGAGCGACGCCGCGUGGAUGAUGAAGGCCGGAAGGUUGUAAAAUCCUUUUAAGCAAGAAGAAUAAACUUUACAGGGAAUGGUAGAGUGGUGACGGUAUUGCUUGAAUAAGCAACGGCUAAUUACGUGCCAGCCGCCGCAGUAAAAC
rnacentral:rRNA from 1 species